UACAGAGGUCUCAAGCGUUGUUCGGAUUCAUUGGGCGUAAAGGGCGCGUAGGCGGCCUGCUAAGUCGAACGUGAAAUCCCUGGGCUCAACCCAGGAACUGCGUCCGAUACUGGUUGGCUUGAAUCCGGGGAGAGGGAUGUGGAAUUCCAGGUGUAGCGGUGAAAUGCGUAGAUAUCUGGAGGAACACCGGUGGCGAAGGCGACAUCCUGGACCGGUAUUGACGCUGAGGCGCGAAAGCCAGGGGAGCAAACGGGG
rnacentral:rRNA from 1 species